CCAAAAAACCAAAAAAAAAU
rnacentral:sRNA from 1 species